GGAUUGUGACUCAGUGGUAGAGCACUUGCCUGGCAUGAGAGAGGAACUGGGUUCGAUUCUCAGCACCA
rnacentral:tRNA from 1 species